CGAGCGCAACCCUUAUCCUUUGUUGCCAGCGGUUAGGCCGGGAACUCAAAGGAGACUGCCAGUGAUAAACUGGAGGAAGGUGGGGAUGACGUCAAGUCAUCAUGGCCCUUACGACCAGGGCUACACACGUGCUACAAUGGCGCAUACAAAGAGAAGCGACCUCGCGAGAGCAAGCGGACCUCAUAAAGUGCGUCGUAGUCCGGAUUGGAGUCUGCAACUCGACUCCAUGAAGUCGGAAUCGCUAGUAAUCGUGGAUCAGAAUGCCACGGUGAAUACGUUCCCGGGCCUUGUACACACCGCCCGUCACACCAUGGGAGUGGGUUGCAAAAGAAGUAGGUAGCUUAACCUUCGGGAGGGCGCUUACCACUUUGUGAUUCAUGACUGGGGUGAAGUCGUAACAAGGUAACCGUAGGGGAACCUGC
rnacentral:rRNA from 1 species